ensembl:lncRNA
CCAACUUUCAAUAUCAAGCAGCAAAAUGAACUGUUUUGUUCAGUUAAAAAUAGCUGGACGGAGUGGACGCAGAUGAGACCGGAAGCCAGACUCAUAGAAUUUACAAAUGGCUGCGCCAAUUUUUACGACAAGAAAAAGGUGGAUAGCAGUGUAGCGCAGCAAGGAGAGUAUUAAAUCAUAAAACAACACGAAGGCAUGGUCUUGUCACGACACGCACACAAACAGGUAGAUCCAAUUGCAGUAUGUUUUAUUAGGAUAAUCCAAAUCUCAUGGUCAGCCAGGCAAAGGUCACAAUCCAGGUAAGCAGUCCAGAAACAAGAAACAUACACAACAUCCGAGAACCACGACAAACCAGGGUGACAUUCAACAAGGACUCCGUGACAAUGACAGAACAACCGGGGUAUUUAUACACAAGGAAAUGACAAUGCUAACGGGGAAUUGGCUGAGUGCAAUGAUUGAUAACCACGGACAGCUGAGUGCAAUGAGCAGUGAUGAAACAGACAAGACUAUGGGAAAUGCAGUUCUAAAGUGGAGUGACGAUAAGGGGAAGUGAGACCUCUAGUGGCCACCCAGGGAGACACAGAACAGACACCGUGACACUACCCCCCCUCUAAGGAGCAGCUUCCAGAUGCUCCUCAGAACAAAAUAACCAAAAAACAAAGAGACCAGGAGGGAGGUGGACUGGUGGAGGCAGAACAGGGGGAGGGAUGGCGGGCCAGGCCCGUGUAGGGGAACUGGGACCGGCAGUGAUGGCUCCCCUGGUAGCCCAGGUGGCUCGGUCAGUUCAGGUGGCCACGGUGGACCCGCAAGUUCAGGGGGACCACGAGGGGCCAGGCAGUUCAGGUGGCCACGGUGGAUCAGUCCAUUCUCGUUGUGCAGACGGCCAGGGAGGAAUUCGCCAUUUGAGUGGCCCGAACGGAACCUGCCAAUCGGGGAGCCAGUAAGGAGCAGGCUGUGGCGAUGGCCAGGUCACGGCAUUGGGAACGGCAUCGGGAACGGCCUCAGACAAGGGCACCGCCUCGGGAACGGCCUUGGACACGGGUAUCGCCUCCGGAACCAUCUCGGGCCCCGCAUCGGCCUCCGGAACAGCAUCGGGCACCGCCUCGGCAUCGGGAACCGCCUCGGGCACCGCCUCGGCAUCGGGCACCGCCUCGGUAUCGGGAACAACAUCGGGCACCUCCGGAACAGCCUCGGUCUCGGGCAUUACAUCGGGCACCGCCUCGGCAUCGGGCACCGCCUCGGCAUCGGGGACCGCCUCGGGCACCGCCCUGGCAUCGGGAACGGCCUCGGCAUCGGGCACCGCCUCGGGAACCUUGGACACCUCCAUCUGGACGACCGCGGCCUGCUCGGGAACGUCCUCCUGGACGGCAGCGGCCUGCUCGGGAACGUCCUCCUGGACGGCAGCGGCCUGCUCGGGAACGUCCUCCGGGCUUUGAGGAACGGCUGACGCCUGUCUCCUCCUCCUGCGGCCUCUAUGAUGACGUGCCGGUGGCUCCUUGA